rnacentral:rRNA from 1 species
UACGGGGGGGGCAAGCGUUGUUCGGAAUUACUGGGCGUAAAGGGCUCGUAGGCGGCCAACUAAGUCAGACGUGAAAUCCCUCGGCUUAACUGGGGAACUGCGUCUGAUACUGGCGAGCUUGAGUGCAGGAGAGGAACGCGGAAUUCCAGGUGUAGCGGUGAAAUGCGUAGAUAUCAGGAGGAAUACCUAUGGCGAAAGCAAGUUUCUGGGCCAUCACUGACGCUGAGCUGCGAAAGCUAGGGGAGCAAACAGG